GUGCUCACUUAGGCAGCACAUAUGCUAAAAUUGGAAUGGUACAGAGAAGAUUAGCAUGGCCCCUGUGCACAGAUAACAUGCACAUUCAUGAAGCAUUCCGUAUUUUU
rnacentral:snRNA from 1 species